ACGAACGCUGGCGGCGUGGAUUAGGCAUGCAAGUCGAACGAGAAUAGUUCCUUCGGGGACUGAGUAAAGUGGCAAACGGGUGAGUAACGCGUGGGAAACCUACCUUUCAGUUGGGGACAACACUUCUAACGAAGUGCUAAUACCGAAUAAGAUCUUUCCAUCGCAUGGUGGUUUGAUUAAAGGUGGCCUCUGAUUUAAGCUUUCGCUGGAAGAUGGUCCCGCGUCCCAUUAGCUUGUUGGUGAGGUAACUGCUCACCAAGGCGACGAUGGGUAGCCGGCCUUAGCGGGUGUCCGGCCACACUGGGAUUGAGAUACGGCCCAGACUCCUACGGGAGGCAGCAGUCGAGAGGCAUCCACAAUGGGGGAAACCCUGAUGGUGCGACGCCGCGUGGG
rnacentral:rRNA from 1 species